rnacentral:rRNA from 2 species
AUGAGUCAUAGAAAGGAGCUUCACAGCUUCACUUAAAACACGGGGUGCGGAACAUUAGUUAGUUGGUAGGGUAAUGGCCUACCAAGACGAUGAUGUUUAGCCGGGCCGAGAGGCUGUACGGCCACACUGGGACUGAGAUACGGCCCAGACUCCUACGGGAGGCAGCAGUAAGGAAUUUUCCACAAUGAGCGAAAGCUUGAUGGAGCGACACAGCGUGCAGGAUGAAGUUCUUCGGAAUGUAAACUGCUGUUAUAAGGGAAGAAAAAAUAGAAUAGGAAAUGAUUUUAUCUUGACGGUACCUUAUUAGAAAGCGACGGCAAACUAUGUGCCAGCAGCUGCGGUAAUACAUAGGUCGCAAGCGUUAUCCGGAAUUAUUGGGCGUAAAGCGUCCGUAGGUUUUUUGAUAAGUCUGGAGUUAAAUGCUGAAGCUCAACUUCAGUCCGCUUUGGAUACUGGCAAAAUAGAAUUAUAAAGAGGUUAGCGGAAUUCCUAGUGAAGCGGUGGAAUGCGUAGAUAUUAGGAAGAACACCAAUAGGCGAAGGCAGCUAACUGGUUAUAUAUUGACACUAAGGGACGAAAGCGUGGGGAGCAAACAGG